UACUCUGAUGAUCUUCCUGGAGGUUCAGU
rnacentral:piRNA from 1 species